ACCGUGAGGAAACACUUAUUUUAAAACUUGAGCUGCAGUUUCUACCACAGCGUACAUCUACCUCUGAUGCAAUCUUGAAGCGAAUCUCUCAUCCAUUCCCAUUUACUGCACUUCAGUUCACAUCACUGAGUGGUGUCAUAGCACACAAAUUGGAUUCCUUUUGGUUAAAACUUAACUAGAAAAUGCACUCCAGGAGCAUGCUCCAUGCUCUCCAAGUGCUGAUGGGCGCUCAGUCCCUGGGAGCAGCCCAGGGCUUACCCCAAGUGCCGCAUAUCAUAGAUGUGGGGUUCUCAGCCCCAAGUGCUUUGCCCUGCAGAUGUUCUCCUGUUUCGCUGCACAGUGCAGAAACGUUGAGAAUGAAGAUGUGCAUGUGCAUCUUGAACAGAAAGUGGUGCUCUGGUCUGAGAGGGCUCUUGCUGCCCCAGUUUUGAGAUGUUCCCUGGAGAGAGAGGAGUAGGAUUAGAGCAGUAAAUGGGCACCUAUAUAGCUCUUCCGAUUCUUCACUUUCCUCUUCCAUUUCUGUGCCUGCCCCAUGCUCAAGGAACUGAAAAUCUUGCUGAGAGUGUUUCAGUUAAGGCUGCUGAGCAGAUAUCCUGCUUCUUUUAGCAAUGUGCAUUAGAUAAGUUAUUUGAAUCCCAAGUUUAUGGUGUACAGACCAUUGACAAAAGAGGCAGAAAAGCAGUUUACAGUCUGAAUUUUAGUGUGUGCCUAAGUAACAGUAUUUGUCUCGCUACAGCUAAUGGGAAACAUUAGACUUGCAAUCCCCUGGAAAGACUCACUGGGAAAGAGGAAACACCCUGGCUUUCCAAGUCUGCUCCUUCCCUGCAAAUCUUAGCUGCUUUACUCCGUACAACUGCUGAAAGACAAUGCAAGAUUCAUCUAUCCAGAUUUAAUCAUCUGCAGCUGAGCUUUUCACUUAUCUCUAGUGAGGUCACGCAAGUAAGCAAUUCCCUUCCGCGGGCAGCUGCGUUCAUGGAGUCAUGUAUUGAGAAGUGUCUCACAAAAGUGAACUUUGUGCUCUAAAUCACUGAGCUGAUGCCUCUUCCACGAGCACUUUAAUCAAGGCCUUUGCUACAGUAAGUAAUUGGUAGAGACUGCUGACCUGAUAAUACUGUGGUAGAUUUAGUCUAAUCUGAAAAGAAAAACCCUAAAACAUUUCCUGCAUUAGUUGAACCAAUGAAUCAUCAAAGGAGUAAAGCAUAAUCUCAAUGUUGUGCCCAGGAAAGAGAAAUAUGCCUGGAAUAUUUCAGACGGGCAACACUGGCAUGAGACAAGAAAGGCUGCUGCGAGAGGAGUGUUUUGCACGCGCUGUUUCAUGGGAGCUGCCCCGCAGAGGCCCCCUCCGUCUGCUGCUGAAUGUCCCUUUGGCAACAGGAACCAGUGCGCAGGUGUGAAAAUACCGAGACUGCUUUUAGCGUCACAAAGUCACAGCGUGUCCCUCGAUUUUACCGGAGAUUCAUUGUGCGGCUACCUUCUGAGCAUCUGAGCUUUAACCACCUGAUAACCGAUGGAUUUCUAUGAUCCGAAAGCAGUAUAUGGUUAGGAAAGCCAUUACAGAUUGUACAGUAUUAAGUCCUUUUCCUUUUCGGCAAGCAAAGAGAAGCCUGAGGAGACUAUGAGAGGCUGGUCUCCUUAGCAAAGAGCAGUACAAGGACCAUGCUGAUCUCCACUUUACUCCUCCUGUUUUAUGAGUAAGGUGUGAAGGGAAGGGACAAAGAUAUCUCUCCCUUUUAAGGUAGAAGCCGUUCCUCCUUUCCACUUCUACACUAAAUCUAGAGCAGAAAAGCCAGAGAGGACUGAGGUGCUAGUGGAGAGAUCAAGGCUGAUGUCUGAUGACAGGCAGAGAGGCAAGUGCAAGCAUGUGAACAGCCGGAGGAAAAAAAUAUAUACAUAUAAUGGUUAAGCAGAAGCUGUCUUUAGAGGUGUGUAUUGUAAAAACUGCUAGUAUCCGUAAGUUUUACUGGUCAGUAUUGACCAUCUCGCUGGCACCCUGCUCACUAAACCAUCAUGCCCAGGAUUUACUCAGCCGUUCCAGAUGUGUAAGCGGAGUCAGACAGCUGCAGUUCUUAAAACAACGGAUACAUACCCCUAUAGCUCUUUCUUUAGUAACAAGUGCAGAUGGUGUUGCCCACUAACUCAGACUACGCAUAUCCUGUCCAUAUGCUAGUCAGAGAGGUCAUGUCUAUAGCUUCUUUUGGUUUCUCAAGGCUGGAAUGGAAGUUUUAAACUAUAGGAAGAGGGAAAUUCAUGGGAUCCUAACAGCUAAAGAAUUUUUCCUAGCUAUGAAAUUUCCAAAAACCUCAUGUUUUGUUUGGAUCUUUUUUAUAUUUAGACUGUUUCAGACUCUACAUAAUGAGGCUUCUCCCCCACCAGCUCACACACUUCUUUAUGGAAAAGAAUACAAAAAUGGUUCUAAGCUUUAAAUAGUUUUUUUAUUUUUUGCAUAAAGCAUAUACCAUAUAAAACACACAUAUAGCAUCCAGCAAUGUAAUUUUAAAAUAACACCUAUUUGUAAAAAUCUAUGCAUAUAAAUCUAUUUUUAUUUUCAGUAAUGCAUAUAAAUUUGAGUAAGGGUCACCUGUAUAAGAAUUUGUUGUAUAGAGAAUGGUAACAAUAAUGUACUCUGAAAAACAUGAACCUAAGAAUUUUUCCUAAGACUUGCAUCAAGCCCAUCAUUUCUGAUUGAGUUAUUUCUGUUGAGUUAUUUCUGUUACUUUUGUGUGAGUUAUAUGUUUGAGUUAAUGUAUUUUCAAUGAUAUCCAACCUAGAGUAAAGAGCUGAAGCAGUGAAGAAAUUUGUACAUCUUUUGGUAAGUUAUACUAAUUAUUAAUUUAUUCGCAUGAUUAGAAAACUUUACCUAUUCCAGGCUAAAUGGGCUGUCAGUAUCUAGCCUUGGUCUGCUAGAUUUAAAGAGCUAUCAGAAAUCUCCUUGGGUAUAUGCUUAUAGACUCUGAUGAUAUAUUUUAUCCCGUUUUUCGAUAAAGCUAAAGAGAUUGAUCUCUAAAUUUCCAUUUUAGGAAGAUAUUUUCAGACCUCAAAUUAUUCUUUGGGAUUUUUUUCCUGAACCUUUCCCAGUUUCUCACUGUCUUUUUGGAAUUGUGGACGUCAGAAGCCGGCACAGUGUGUUACAAUAUCAAAGGGAUGCGAAGCUAUGCGAAGCACGAAAGGAGGCUGCCAUGCAAACAGCUUGGUGUACAUUCAGGGUACGUGUUGUGGCUCCUGGGCCUAACAAUAUAUCCAUUUAUAGCAGCCAAGAAUCAGUGUUUAAGAUUUUGUGCCGUCAUGAGCACUUUACAGUACGGGUGCAUACCUUCCUCUUUCGGUGGCCUGCCCUCAGCUGCAGCGUUUCUGUACGAGCCGUCUUGGAGAGCCGGGUGCUUCUGACAGCCCAUUAUGCUGAUGGAUUGGAAAGGACCCCUCAUACAGACAGAGCUGUUUGCAUGGCUGCAACAGCUGAACAGCAGCAUCUCGAGCACCACGAGUACAAGACAGGGCAAAAGUUAGAUUGGCUGCUUCUACUGAAGCAGUGUGGCAUUUUUUUAGCUGAAUUUUCGCUUUGUGAUGCAAAUAUGCUUUUCACCUGAGAUGAUUAUAAUACAGCAGUGGAAACGUUGCUUUUUUCCGCAUGCAGGUGGUUCAAAGCAAAACGGAUCUCUUCCUGAUUUCAACAGACCAACGCAGCGCCUGUAAAUCAGAACAAAAUAUUACUCUUCAGCUGCUGUUCCCAGGAGGUGUGUUAGACGGUUUUCUUCGCUAUGAACCGAGGUUCAAUCGUCCCUGAAACAGAGCAAUAGCAUUAGCGCUUUUGAAAAAUGAAUUACUCCGCAUUCCCUUGUAGAGAUUUGGCUCGGGAUGGACUAAGCGAUAGCAGGAAAAAAAAUCCAUGAGAUGGCCCAGUGCAACAUGACAAAGAAUAUAUUUUGGAUCCAUACAUCAAGAGCUGAGACCUUCUGCUUAAGUUUCAGAAGAUUACUUCAACAAAGGAAGAAUAGCCCAGUUCUUGAGAUAUAUGAAUCCCUAUUUUGAGAGACAAAGGAGAAACACUUCAUGCUUCAAAAGGAUGUGCAAGGUUAUGAGAGAUGAUAAUAGAGUGUAUUUGGCUUGGAUCCUUUUGUUUCUCUCUGCAAGAUGAGAUAUUUAUAACGUAAUGGGAAAGCCAAGUUGUUUAACAGCCUAAACCAUCUUAUUGAUAAGGAGAGAAUAUGAACUUUGAAAGAAAGCAACAUGCCUGUUUGGAACCUCAAGUGUAGACAAUGAGAUACUAGAAUCAAGUAAAUUGAUUGUUACAUGGGGUUAAAAUUCAUUCCUGACUUUUUCGGAUAACAGGGGUUCUGGGCAGUGUUUCUAAAACACAAGCUUACAGUGAUAAUGGAAGUAGAAGCACCAGCAACUGUAGCCGUGAGAAUGGGCAGAAAGGGUAAAGUAUGGGGAUGCUCUUCUGUGGAAGAGAGGGCAGAAAGGUGGCAUUUUCCACGAUACCUGAAGACCGAUAGCCGAGUAAAGCUUGCUUGCAGGGAGGUAUAAGAAUAUCUCUGCUUUCUGCACUCUGACCUUCCAUUGUCCCUUGCUGAGCAUUUGAAAGGAUUGUGCAGUUCUCUUGAUCUAUUUAAGAAAAAGAAACUGUGUCAAAUCUUUCCAUUCCCCAGCCGGCUGUCUUUCAGACCACAUCUAUACUAUGGCAAGAUAGUAUGAUAUAAAAUGAACGGUCUAAAAUUAAUACGGUGUUAAACGCUAACGUGUAUUCUGUUGGGACAGGCACAAUUGUAUUUGCAGCAACUUGACCACAAGCAACGCACAAGCAUUCUAACUUAACACCUCCUGUACACAGUAGUCAUUAAGUCAUUAACUUUUAACCAUGUCACACAAAAUGAUUAGUACUUUUUCUGACUUGUCUUCUUCAAUUUAAGUAAGGCCUUGAAGUGUGUAUUUGCCACUACUUCCAUAUGGUGCAACACAGAAGUUUAGUGACGACGACUACGUUUUUUGUGUGUGUGAAUGGCAGUUCAGGUUUCUGAAAGAGGAGGCUACUUUUUUCUGAAAAGCGUUAGUGUUUGGGACCCAUGAUGCCCACCGACAAGGGCUCUUCUUGUGGGAGCUCUGAAAUUUGCAGCAAAUUUGAAAUUUUAGUUUGAUUGAUGAAGUUAAUUUUAAAAACUCAACCUUAAAGCUGAACUGUCUUACCAACCAUCUGAAUAAUCUAAUGAAGUAGGUGCUAGAUUCCAAUUUAAUGGUGGCAGUUUUGAGAUGUGGACUCCUUACGAUAAGAAAGAAAUAAAAACAGCUCCAGGAAGAAAAAAACUUGGAUGCGCAGACUCAAAAUUUCUUGUUUACUCUUGCACAACGUUGUUAUGCUUUUCACAUGCUUUACACAAUAGUAUGAAUAUUGAGGUUGGUAGGAGUCAGCUCUGUUAGGAGAAGGAACAGACAGAAGUAAGAAGUAGCUGUUUUGCAGUCCUGCGCAGUGGUGGCUGUUUGCUUUGGUCUGUCUCUGUUGCAUGUGGAUGACCCUGAACACCUACUUGCUGCCUGGGAGAUUAGCGCUUCUGCCUCCUUACAGAAUGAGAUGUUUGUUCAGUGCUAGACUUAGGCUAAGAAUAUUUACUAAAGCAAUCAGUAUUUGUGUAGAGGUGAUAGAAGGCUCAUUAAGCUGGUGAAUGCAUAUAUCAGAGGAACAGGUGUAAAUAUAUUUGGUAACUUUAAAUUAUGUAAACUUACAUUCCACUGACUCUACAGUAAAACAUACUGAUUUCUUUUUUAAGUGGGUCCUAUGCCCCUCUAAGUCACUCUGUUUGAAAACAGGUAACUCCAGUGCAAUGCAGCAACUAAACAUAAUCUAUCAUCAGUAUAACUGGAUCUACUAACGCUAUCAUUUUCACGCCCACGAUCAGGAAAUAUAAAUGACACAAUUCUCUUUAAACAAAGUGUUUGUUGCCUGCUUUUAGUUGCUUGUAGGUCCUGUUCUGUCAACUGAUUUGUAGACCUGCAUGUCCUCCUCAGAGUCUACCUAAGCCUGCUUGUAUGCCCAAGUUCAUCUUCAUCCAAUAUUUACUUUAGUGGGAAGAGUGAGCUCAGAUAUGCUUGUAUUUUGAGGAGGAUCCUGCUGUGUUCUUUCUUAAGCAGGAAAAGUAUCUGUAUCGCUACUAGUCAACUUGGCGGCGAGAAAAAUCCAUAAAGGCGUGAAGCUGGAGAACUGGAAAAAUUAACCAACUCCUGUCACUACCGGGUUCUUCUGCUCCUGAAGUACUAGUAAGAGAUUAAGAGGGGGUUAUUAUUAAAACAAAAAAUCAGAAUUUCUGAAAAGCCAGCUGCAGCCUAUCGCCAACAGAUGCAACUCGAUGACUUUGUCAGGUUUUGUCCCUUCUAAAAGCUAUUUCUGCGUGCUGUGGGAGUGCCUCAAGAAGAAAAGUAAUGAAACUAUUAUAAAUAUAUACACCUAAAUGUGAAGUAAGAUUUGAUUGAAUAAGUUUUUUUUCUAAAUCAAUAAGGUACAAGCACAUGCCAACUUAGUGGUCACUGUUUGUACUCUGCGUAGGAAAAACCAACAGCCCAAAACCAACAGCCCCGAACAGAAAGCUGCCGAGCGUAGAAACAGGAGUUGCACAUGUUAAAAAAAAAAAGAAACAAGAAGGUUUCCACAGCAACCUAAGCUCUGUAGUGCAAAUUGAUGACUUUCAUUCUGUUUUAUUACAUAAUCAUGGAACAGAUAUUCUAUAAAAAGUGUUGGGCACAUCUGAAGUUACAUUAUUAAGAAGUUCAGUGAAACCAUAAAACUGUACACAGAGUAACUCAUUUACAAAGGUUUCUGGAAAAGCUGCGUGAAGAGCGGUGCUGGCUUCCUUCUGCUUCGGGAAAGCUCCUCUAGGAAAAAAAUUGCCAGCGUAUCAGAAUAUUGCAGUGAUCAAACCUGCAGUUAGAGGGGAAGUUUUGAGUGACACGCUUCAACUCGCAGUAUGCGGUAAGGAGUUCAAAUUUAUGUUUUAAGGAAAGAGCAGACAUGAAAGAUGAGCGCAGAGAUGAAAUUUGAAAACCAUUUCAGAUUUGGGGCAGUUGUUCGUUCUGCAGCCUGUACAAGUUCGGUGAGCCCAUGUAAAGCUUUGGAAAUCAAUAAAAAACAUGUAAAUCAUGGUAUUGGGCCACUUUAGAUCUCAGCAGUGGUUGCCGCCUGUUUGAAAGCUUACAGCAUUUCCCGAUUCUCGCGCAACUCAAAUGCGAACCUUAAACCUUGCAACUGUAUCGUGUUUUUUAAAAGCAAUUCUGGAGAAAUAAUUGAUUUCACUAAUAACUCAUUAAACAGCACGCUUGCCCUAACUCCCACUGCUCAGAAUUAUUUGCAAAGAUUGCCCUAAAACUAGCCCGUGAGCUGCGAGUCUCCCCGUGUGAGGUGGACAACAGGUUUCAAAGCAGAGAUGUCACCGUACGUGCAGCAGGACAUGUACGUGUGGCGUUUGC